rnacentral:lncRNA from 1 species
UAAUCAGUUCUGCUCAGUUAAAAUUUCCUUGUGUUUUGCUGAAUUGAAUAAUACCUUUCAUUAAGAUUCAGUUCCCUCUCCCUCUCCCUCUCCCUCCCCCUCCCCCUCUCCCUCUCCCUCUCCCUCUCCCCACGGUCUCCCUCUCCCUCUCUUUCCACGGUCUCCCUCUCAUGCUGAGCCAAAGCUGUACUGUACUGCUGCCAUCUCGGCUCACUGCAACCUCCCUGCCUGAUUCUCCUGACUCAGCCUGCCCAGUGCCUGCGAUUGCAGGCUCACGCCGCCACGCCUGACUGGUUUUGGUGGAGACGGGGAUUCGCUGUGUUGGCCGGGCCGGUCUCCAGCCCCUAACCGCAAGUGAUCCGCCAGCCUCGGCCUCCCGAGGUGCCGGGAUUGCAGACGGAGUCUCCUUCACUCAGUGCUCAAUGGUGCCCAGGCUGGAGUGCAGUGGCGUGAUCUCGGCUCGCUACAACCUGCACCUCCCAGCCGCCUGCCUUGGCCUCCCAAAGUGCCGAGAUUGCAGCCUCUGCCCGGCCGCCACCCCGUCUGGGAAGUGAGGAGCGUCUCUGCCUGGCCGCCCAUCGUCUGGGUUGUGAGGAGCCCCUCUGCCCGGCCGCCCAGUCUGGGAAGUGAGGAGCCCCUCUGCCCGGCCGCCAUCACGUCUGGGAAGUAAGGAGCAUCUCAGCCCGGCUGCCCAUCGUCUGGGAUGUGAGGAGCGCCUCUGCCAGGCCGCCCAGUCUGGAAAGUGAGGAGCGUCUCCGCCUGGCCGCCAUCCCACCUAGGAAGUGAGGAGCACCUCUUCCCGGCCGCCAUCCCAUCUAGGAAGUGAGGAGCGUCUCUGCCCGGUCGCCCAUCGUCUGAGAUGUGGGGAGCGCCUCUGCCCCGCCGCCCCGUCUGGGAUGUGAGGAGCACCUCUGCCCGGCCGCCCCGUCUGAGAAGUGAGGAGCCCCUCCGCCCGGCAGCCGCCCCAUCUGGGAAGUGAGGAGCGUCUGCGCCCGGCAGCCAGCCGUCCGGGAGGGAGGUGGGGGGGUCAGCCCCCCGCCCGGCCAGCCGCCCCGUCCGGGAGGGAGGUGGGGGGGUCAGCCCCCAGCCCGGCCAGCCGCCCCGACCGGGAGGGAGGUGGGGGGGUUAGCCCCCCGCCCGGCCAGCCCCCCCAUCCGGGAGGGAGGUUGGGGGGUCAGCCCCCCGCCCGGCCAGCCGCCCCGUCCGGGAGGUGAGGGGCGCCUCUGCCCGGCCGCCCCUACUGGGAAGUGAGGAGCCCCUCUGCCCGGCCACCACCCCGUCUGGGAGGUGUACCCAACAGCUCAUUGAGAACGGGCCAGGAUGACAAUGGCGGCUUUGUGGAAUAGAAAGGGGGGAAAGGUGGGGAAAAGAUUGAGAAAUCGGAUGGUUGCCGUGUCUGUGUAGAAAGAAGUAGACAUGGGAGACUUUUCAUUUUGUUCUGUACUAAGAAAACUUCUUCUGCCUUGGGAUCCUGUUGAUCUGUGACCUUACCCCCAACCCUGUGCUCUCUGAAACAUGUGCUGUGUCCACUCAGGGUUAAAUGGAUUAAGGGCGGUGCAAGAUGUGCUUUGUUAAACAGAUGCUUGAAAGCAGCAUGCUCGUUAAGAGUCAUCACCACUCCCUAAUCUCAAGUACCCAGGGACACAAACACUGCGGAAGGCCGCAGGGUCCUCUGCCUAGGAAAACCAGAGACCUUUGUUCACUUGUUUAUCUGCUGACCUUCCCUCCACUAUUGUCCUAUGACCCUGCCAAAUCCCCCUCUGUGAGAAACACCCAAGAAUUAUCAAUAAAAAAUAAAUAAAUAAAAAAAAAAGAUUCAGUUCUGUACUCCAUUGAAAAUUUACAUUUCAUUUUUUGCUGUGUACCCAUCGGUAUCAGGGAGCUGCCCCGUCCCCACCCCCGCUCCUUCUCCUCAUCAUCCCCCUCCCCUCAUCAUCCCCCUUCCCCACCUCCACCAAGAAGAGCUGAUUGACAGAAAGACCCAGCUGGUCUACUCCUGUCUGAAUACCAUGGCCCCUGGAAGUCAAGUGCAUG